rnacentral:rRNA from 1 species
GACAGAGGCCUCAAGCGUUAGGCGGAAUCACUGGGCUUAAAGCGUGUGUAGGCGGACGCCUAAGUGUCUUGUGAAAUCCCACGGCUCACCCGUGGAACUGCUGGGCAUACUGGGCGUCUUGGGCCAACUAGGGGCAGCCGGAACAAGCGGUGGAGCGGUGAAAUGCGUAGAUAUCGCUUGGAACGCCGAAGGUGAAAACAGGCUGCUGGGGUUGUGCCGACGCUGAGACACGAAAGCCAGGGGAGCAAACGGG